GACCUCCGUGCUCCUGCUCUGAAAGGGCCUGAAAGGAGCGGUUUAUGGUGCAUUACCAGUCAAGGGCUCAGGUACCAGCGCCUUGUGUCGGGAACCCGGGCGGCCGCCCGUGCUGCAGGUGUCUGCUAUACAAACGCCCCGGGAGGGGGAGGGCAGGCCGCCGGAUUGGGGGCCGGGGAGGGGCCUCCGGCCUGGCCUGCUCCUGCCACUCGCGCGGUUUCGCUCUUGCUCCUCUGCAGCCAUAGCAGCCAGCCAGGGGUGCAGACGGAGAUCCUAGCUGCCGGGACAGAAAAAGCUGCAGGGGCCUGGCUGCCCAGUCCCGAUUUGGUUUCAAGACUAACGGCAGCAGGAGGUCACAGGAGGCUUGAACCUCUCCGGGGAGACAACCGCUGUGCCGGGGAAGAAACAUUUUGCCCAUAUGUUGGGCUGCUUGGGCCUCCAGAGGCCUGCCAGGAUUUAACUUGAACUUUCCAGGUAGGCCUGCCCUCUCCUUGUCUAUCUUCCUGUGCAAAGAAGGGCCUGAGCCCAGGCGCAUUUAGCAGCUGUUCCUGGUUAAACAGCAGUGUGGCCUUCUCACUGACCUCUCCCAACGCCACAGUCGCUCCCUGCCCAGAAGAAACCACGGAAGGUACGUUAGCUUCUUUGGGCUGCACCAACAGCUAUGCCUUUAGUGGGUCACUCCUGUACCCGUCUGUGUCCCGAAGGCCUGACAAACCAAGAAAUUUAGCCCCCCACCCCCACCCCCUCAAGCUGGCUUCUAAAGCAAAACCUUAAAAUGCUUUUUUUCCUUAGGGAGGAAAUUGUCAAUGGAGU
rnacentral:lncRNA from 1 species